CGGGACACGUGGUAUCCUGUCUGAAUAUGGGGGGACCAUCCUCCAAGGCUAAAUACUCCUGACUGACCGAUAGUGAACCAGUACCGUGAGGGAAAGGCGAAAAGAACCCCGGCGAGGGGAGUGAAAAAGAACCUGAAACCGUGUACGUACAAGCAGUGGGAGCCUCUUUAUGGGGUGACUGCGUACCUUUUGUAUAAUGGGUCAGCGACUUAUAUUCUGUAGCAAGGUUAACCGAAUAGGGGAGCCGAAGGGAAACCGAGUCUUAACUGGGCGUUAAGUUGCAGGGUAUAGACCCGAAACCCGGUGAUCUAGCCAUGGGCAGGUUGAAGGUUGGGUAACACUAACUGGAGGACCGAACCGACUAAUGUUGAAAAAUUAGCGGAUGACUUGUGGCUGGGGGUGAAAGGCCAAUCAAACCGGGAGAUAGCUGGUUCUCCCCGAAAGCUAUUUAGGUAGCGCCUCGUGAAUUCAUCUCCGGGGGUAGAGCACUGUUUCGGCAAGGGGGUCAUCCCGACUUACCAACCCGAUGCAAACUGCGAAUACCGGAGAAUGUUAUCACGGGAGACACACGGCGGGUGCUAACGUCCGUCGUGAAGAGGGAAACAACCCAGACCGCCAGCUAAGGUCCCAAAGUCAUGGUUAAGUGGGAAACGAUGUGGGAAGGCCCAGACAGCCAGGAUGUUGGCUUAGAAGCAGCCAUCAUUUAAAGAAAGCGUAAUAGCUCACUGGUCGAGUCGGCCUGCGCGGAAGAUGUAACGGGGCUAAACCAUGCACCGAAGCUGCGGCAGCGACGCUUAUGCGUUGUUGGGUAGGGGAGCGUUCUGUAAGCCUGCGAAGGUGUGCUGUGAGGCAUGCUGGAGGUAUCAGAAGUGCGAAUGCUGACAUAAGUAACGAUAAAGCGGGUGAAAAGCCCGCUCGCCGGAAGACCAAGGGUUCCUGUCCAACGUUAAUCGGGGCAGGGUGAGUCGACCCCUAAGGCGAGGCCGAAAGGCGUAGUCGAUGGGAAACAGGUUAAUAUUCCUGUACUUGGUGUUACUGCGAAGGGGGGACGGAGAAGGCUAUGUUGGCCGGGCGACGGUUGUCCCGGUUUAAGCGUGUAGGCUGGUUUUCCAGGCAAAUCCGGAAAAUCAAGGCUGAGGCGUGAUGACGAGGCACUACGGUGCUGAAGCAACAAAUGCCCUGCUUCCAGGAAAAGCCUCUAAGCAUCAGGUAACAUCAAAUCGUACCCCAAACCGACACAGGUGGUCAGGUAGAGAAUACCAAGGCGCUUGAGAGAACUCGGGUGAAGGAACUAGGCAAAAUGGUGCCGUAACUUCGGGAGAAGGCACGCUGAUAUGUAGGUGAAGCGACUUGCUCGUGGAGCUGAAAUCAGUCGAAGAUACCAGCUGGCUGCAACUGUUUAUUAAAAACACAGCACUGUGCAAACACGAAAGUGGACGUAUACGGUGUGACGCCUGCCCGGUGCCGGAAGGUUAAUUGAUGGGGUUAGCGGUAACGCGAAGCUCUUGAUCGAAGCCCCGGUAAACGGCGGCCGUAACUAUAACGGUCCUAAGGUAGCGAAAUUCCUUGUCGGGUAAGUUCCGACCUGCACGAAUGGCGUAAUGAUGGCCAGGCUGUCUCCACCCGAGACUCAGUGAAAUUGAACUCGCUGUGAAGAUGCAGUGUACCCGCGGCAAGACGGAAAGACCCCGUGAACCUUUACUAUAGCUUGACACUGAACAUUGAGCCUUGAUGUGUAGGAUAGGUGGGAGGCUUUGAAGUGUGGACGCCAGUCUGCAUGGAGCCGACCUUGAAAUACCACCCUUUAAUGUUUGAUGUUCUAACGUUGGCCCCUGAUCGGGGUUGCGGACAGUGUCUGGUGGGUAGUUUGACUGGGGCGGUCUCCUCCUAAAGAGUAACGGAGGAGCACGAAGGUUGGCUAAUCCUGGUCGGACAUCAGGAGGUUAGUGCAAUGGCAUAAGCCAGCUUGACUGCGAGCGUGACGGCGCGAGCAGGUGCGAAAGCAGGUCAUAGUGAUCCGGUGGUUCUGAAUGGAAGGGCCAUCGCUCAACGGAUAAAAGGUACUCCGGGGAUAACAGGCUGAUACCGCCCAAGAGUUCAUAUCGACGGCGGUGUUUGGCACCUCGAUGUCGGCUCAUCACAUCCUGGGGCUGAAGUAGGUCCCAAGGGUAUGGCUGUUCGCCAUUUAAAGUGGUACGCGAGCUGGGUUUAGAACGUCGUGAGACAGUUCGGUCCCUAUCUGCCGUGGGCGCUGGAGAACUGAGGGGGGCUGCUCCUAGUACGAGAGGACCGGAGUGGACGCAUCACUGGUGUUCGGGUUGUCAUGCCAAUGGCACUGCCCGGUAGCUAAAUGCGGAAGAGAUAAGUGCUGAAAGCAUCUAAGCACGAAACUUGCCCCGAGAUGAGUUCUCCCUGAGACUUUAAGUCUCCUGAAGGAACGUUGAAGACGACGACGUUGAUAGGCCGGGUGUGUAAGCGCAGCGAUGCGUUGAGCUAA
rnacentral:rRNA from 1 species